CCUACGAGAGGCAGCAGUGAGGAAUAUUGGUCAAUGGGCGGAAGCCUGAACCAGCCAAGUAGCGUGCAGGAUGACGGCCCUACGGGUUGUACACUGCUUUUAUACGGGAAUAACGCGCCUUACGUGUAGGGCUUUGCAUGUACCGUAUGAAUAAGGACCGGCUAAUUCCGUGCCAUCAGCCGCGGUAAUACGGAAGGUCCGGGCGUUAUCCGGAUUUAUUGGGUUUAAAGGGAGCGUAGGCCGCAUGUCAAGGGUUCUUGGAAAUGUCCGGUCUCAACCCGGGCCUUGAAGCGCGCACUGGCGGGCUUGAGUCCGCGGAAAGCAGGCGGAAUUCGUCGUGUAGCGGUGAAAUGCUUAGAUAUGACGAAGAACCCCGAUUGCGAAGGCAGCUUGCUGCAGCGGAACUGACGCUGAUGCUCGAAAGCGCGGGUAUCGAACAGGAUUAGAUACCCUAGUAGUC
rnacentral:rRNA from 1 species